UGCAUGUCAUGCUAUAUGAACGGGCACUGUGGUUGUGAUUGUUAUGCUGGGAGCGAUGUUCCUCAUGGUCCCAGUAAUGCUGCUAGUAUGGAAGAGGCACUGGAUCCUUGUUGUCACAUUCCUUGAGCUCUCGUUGAUGGAGGAUAAAUGGAAAUAAGUGAUCAUCUAGUGGAGACAGAGAUAACAAGUAGAGACAAACUGCAGGGAACCAAGUAGAGACAAAUCGCUGCACUGUGGUAUGUUGCUGUCCAUCAGAAUCUGCCAUGCCAUAUAGUUGCCAUCAGGAGGGUCGACGACAAGAACACGAGUGACAACCUUUGUAGUUAUAUGUUUUGUCGAUGUAAAUUGGAUUGUACCGGUUCCUAAUCCUAUGGAUGGUUGCAUAUUAAGUGAUUUUGUCAACAU